rnacentral:rRNA from 1 species
GGCAGCAGCUAAGAAUAUUCCGCAAUGGACGAAAGUCUGACGGAGCGACGCCGCGUGGAUGAUGAAGGCCGGAAGGUUGUAAAAUCCUUUUAUGACUGAGGAAUAAGGAAAGUGAGAGAAACGCUUUCUGGUGACUGUAGGUCAUGAAUAAGCAACGGCUAAUUACGUGCCAGCAGCCGCGGUAACACGUAAGUUGCGAGCGUUGUUCGGAAUUAUUGGGCGUAAAGGGUAUGUAGGCGGUUCUGCAAGUCUGGUGUGAAAUGCCGGGGCUCAACCCCGGAACUGCGUUGGAAACUGCAGGACUUGAAUCGCUGAGGGGCAGCCAGAAUUCCAGGUGUAGGGGUGAAAUCUGUAGAUAUCUGGAAGAAUACCAAUGGCGAAGGCAGGCUGCCAGCAGAUGAUUGACGCUGAGGUACGAAGGUGCGGGGAGCAAACAGGAUUAGAUACCCUGGUAGUCCGCACAGUCAACUAUGUACACUGGGUGUCCGCGCAUGAGCGUGGGUGCCGAAGCAAACGCGAUAAGUGUACCGCCUGGGGAGUAUGCCCGCAAGGGUGAAACUCAAAGGAAUUGACGG